GUGGGGAAUCUUAGACAAUGGGGGAAACCCUGAUCUAGCCAUGCCGCGUGAGCGAUGAAGGCCUUAGGGUUGUAAAGCUCUUUCAGCUGGGAAGAUAAUGACGGUACCAGCAGAAGAAGCCCCGGCUAACUCCGUGCCAGCAGCCGCGGUAAUACGGAGGGGGCUAGCGUUGUUCGGAAUUACUGGGCGUAAAGCGCGCGUAGGCGGGCCAGAAAGUUGGAGGUGAAAUCCCAGGGCUCAACCUUGGAACUGCCUUCAAAACUCCUGGUCUGGAGUUCGAGAGAGGUGAGUGGAAUUCCGAGUGUAGAGGUGAAAUUCGUAGAUAUUCGGAGGAACACCAGUGGCGAAGGCGGCUCACUGGCUCGAUACUGACGCUGAGGUGCGAAAGCGUGGGGAGCAAACAGGAUUAGAAACCCCUGUAGUCC
rnacentral:rRNA from 1 species